rnacentral:rRNA from 1 species
AGUGAACGCUGGCGGUAGGCCUAACACAUGCAAGUCGAACGGCAGCACAGUAAGAGCUUGCUCUUACGGGUGGCGAGUGGCGGACGGGUGAGGAAUACAUCGGAAUCUACUUUUUCGUGGGGGAUAACGUAGGGAAACUUACGCUAAUACCGCAUACGACCUACGGGUGAAAGCAGGAGAUCUUCGGACCUUUCCCGAUUGAAAGAGCCGAUGUCGGAUUAGCUAGUUGGCGGGGUAAAGGCACACCAAGGCGACGAUCCGUAGCUGGUCUGAGAGGAUGAUCAGCCACACUGGAACUGAGACACGGUCCAGACUCCUACGGGAGGCAGCAGUGGGGAAUAUUGGACAAUGGGCGCAAGCCUGACGCAGCCAUGCCGCGUGAGUGAUGAAGGUCUUCGGGUUGUAAAGCCCUUUUAUUAGGAAAGAAAAGCAGCAGAUUAAAACCUGGCUGUCUUGACGGUACCUAAUGAGUAAGCACCGGCUAACUUCGUG